CAGUCAGUACUUAGGAAGUGCGUGAUUCAUGACGGAAAUGAUUCCGGUGUUGAUCGCGAUAAUGCUUCUGUUCGGUACAGCAAAAUACGUCAAAUACAGACAGGCCAUUGCUUUCACAAACGAUCUACGGAUUAUCUGUCCGAUUAUUGGCAAUGGAUUGAUGUUUAUUGCUGAAAAUGAUGAAGAACAAUUUAAAAAUUUCACUAGUGCUUUAAGCAAUUUAGCAAAGUUGUGGCUCGGAGAAUGUAAUGAUUUGCACAAAUGAUCCUAGUAUGGUUCAAAAAUUUUCAACCAUCUGGAUUGUCUAGAGAAACCGCACAUUUGCAAUUUCUUCAAGGUAGACUACCUACAGCUCAUUGUAACUGGAAUUGCUGAACAGGUGAAAAUGAAUAGUUUAAUAACAAAUGAAUUUUCGUUUUGAAAUCACAUUUGGAAAGUACAACGGAAAUCAUUGAACCCAGCAUUCAAUCAGAAAAUUUGUAGUUAAGAUUUUGGCGAAUCAUUGGACAUUACAUAUACCCGAAGCGAGAGCCAUAUAAUUUUACACUACACAGCUGUAGCACAAUGUAUAAUCGAAAUGGUGGAUUGCAGACUUCACCGAAAAACAACCGUUCACGUUGCUGUUUGAUAAUGCUUGGUUAUUCUGAAAGCUAGUUCAGGAAGCUGUAGAUCGUAGAGCCAAUCAAUCUUCAAACUUCGAAAAGAGCUCAAAGUGAUAAAUUUUAAUCGAUCAGCUGCUGAACGGUAGGAAAUUCGAAGCAGGACAGCCACACAACUGGAACGGAGAUGAGCUAGAGCUCUACUGCAGUUUCAGUACACGGAGAUGUUUCUGAAGGAUUGUUUGCGGUUCCUACCGGUUGGUUCAUGCAUCAUGAGGAAACCAAUGAAAGACGUGGAUCUGGAUGGCGUCAUUGUACCUAAGGGAACAAUUUUGUGUGUUAGUAUAUAACAACGUCCAUCGACGGAAGGAUGUCUGGGGUCCGAAAGCCAAUAAGUUUGAUCUAGAACAUUGUACUUCACAGAACAAAACGUAGGAAGCCAUAUUUGCUUUUCUACCUAUCAGUGAGGUCAAUCGGAAUUGUAUUGGUUCUCGCUACGUCAUAAUCAGCAUGAAGAUUACAUUGGUACACAUACUGAGAAAUUUUAGACUAGAGUGAAAUAGGAGAUUCGAAAACUUGCGGUACCAAUUUGAAUCCCUGUUGAAGCUCACCAAGGAAUCGGAAAUUUUCCUGUAGCAUCGUCCUGGAGGGAUUUCUUCAACUGCUAUUACC